CCUACGGGGGGCGGGAGUGGGGAAUUUUGGACAAUGGGGGCAAGCCUGAUCCAGCCAUGCCGGGUGGGGGAAGAAGGCCUUUGGGUUGAAAACCUCUUUUGGAGGGAAAGAAACGGCUUGGUUUAAUACCCCGGGCGCAUGACGAUACAGAAAGAAAAAGCACCGGCUAACUACGUGCCCGCAUACACGGUAAUUUA
rnacentral:rRNA from 1 species